GAGACUCUGUGCGCGUGCAUAUCAAUAAGCGGAGGAAAAGAAACUAACAAGGAUUCCCUUAGUAACGGCGAGUGAAGCGGGAAGAGCUCAAAUCUGAAAUCUUCAAGGUUCUACCUUGACGAAUUGUAGUUUAAAGAAGUGUUUUCUGUUAGUGGAGUGGCAAAAGUUCUCUGGAAUAGGACAUCAUAGAGGGUGAGAAUCCCGUAUUUGGUCAUUCCUUCUAGCUUUGUGAUACACUUUCAAAGAGUCGGAUUGUUUGGGAAUGCAGUCCAAAAUGGGUGGUAAAUUUCAUCUAAAGCUAAAUAUUGGCGAGAGACCGAUAGCGAACAAGUACCGUGAGGGAAAGAUGAAAAGAACUUUGAAAAGAGAGUUAAACAGUACGUGAAAUUGUCAAAAGGGAAGCGUUUGACACCAGUGUUGUUUUUCCGAAAAUCAAUUAUAAAUGUUUUGUUUCUGAGGAGUGAUGACUUCAUCGGCUUCCUUCUCUCUUCACGAAACUUUUGUAAUGCACUUUUCGGUUAACAAGUCAACAUCAAUUUCUUUUGUUGUAAAAGAGUAUUCGGAAGGUGGCUUUCAUUUCGGUAGAAAGUGUUUAUAGCCCUUAUACCUCUACAAUCGGAGAGAUUGAGGUCUGCAGCGUAGAUCCUUCGGGGUUAGAUACAUUUGUGCUAAGUUAUAGUUUUUCAUAGACAACUCGUUGACUAUGAUUAGUCAUGUAGCUUACUCGCUUAUGCUAUUUUACCUACGCUUAGGAUGUUGACAGCAGUAUAGACUGU
rnacentral:rRNA from 1 species